UACAUCUUGAAGGUGAUUUACCCAAUGCACUUGCACUAUCCAGGUAGAAGCUCCGAAGAAUUGGAGAUUUAGAACUAACUAACAAUAGCUAAUAGUGUGAUUAAAAUGCUUGAUUUGAGUUUUUUGGGCAAAUGUGACAAAAUGAAUUGCCAACUAUUGCAGCUUCUUGGGCAUUAAAGUAUUACAGACGUUAUUCUGCAACAGUGAGUGCAGCGCCGUACGUUAGCACCAGGACACGUCGCUAGAGGAUUUCCCGAUGAUGCAAAUUCAUCAUUUUGCAUUUGAUUGGCAUUGGAGAAAUCCAAAAGCUACCACAAAGCUUCUCUGCAUGCAUAAGUGAGCACUGUACCCGCUCUCUAACACAAACUUAUAUUUUGAAGUCUUAAAACAUGUCUAGGAAACUGUUCUGAGAUAUUGUAUUGUUAAAAAGAAUAAGAUACCUCACUUCAAUUGAAUCUAUAAGCUGUAAGAUAAAUUUGGUGAUAAUGUAUCGGUCUUCUAUUCCCUUCAUUUUGCUAGCUUAUGCGGGGCUUUAUCUAUGUACAUGUGCAUGUUGGGAUAGGUUGAUAUGCUAGGUUGCUUUUUGCUAGGUUGAUACUGGACAGUAUCCUGGCCUACUUUUUGCUAGGUUGCAAGCUCAAAGCCAUUAGACGUAAUCCCCAAUGGAACAUAUGGCCGAAGGGUUGCAUUUAACUAGGUUGUGACACUAGAUUAUCUUUUCUAAAUACUAGGUUGUGAGACUAGAUGUAUUGCCAACAUGAUUGGUGUCAUGCGAUACAAGGACACGUCAACUACCUAUUUACACUUGGUGCUAAAGGCAAUAGCUUAGCAAAAUAAGUUACUGUGUUGAUUAACGUUUGGUUUUUUCCCUCUUUUUCAUCUGAAUAGCAUUGCCGUAGAUAUCCAUUUUAGAUAACAUGUUUGAAAAUUUGAAAUUUUCCAAGUUACUAUAUAGUGACAAUGUAUUUUUUUGUUAAGAGGUUUUAAGGGUUAAUUCUUUUUCUGAAAGUUAUCCUUUUAUCUAAACUAAAUGGUUUUCGUCUGAGAUGAAACAAUGUGUUUACUGUACCAAGAAGGGGAUGUAUGCAUUGUUUCUAUAUCCAAAUUAGCCAAAUUGUAAUUUCUUAUAUGGAGGCUCUUUGCAAUACAUCUUGGGGCAGCGUGCAAAAUUUAUGCUGGACUCGUGAGUCGGUGCGGCAAAGCAUGCAUGUUGCUUCUAGUUUUAUUGUUAACCAUGCUAUUGUCCAAACUCCUUUUUAUUCUGCUCAUAUGAUAUUGCUUAUCUUUUGUUUUCUGUCCCGAUGCCUCAUGUAUUUACAGUAGAAAUGUUCUAAAUUUAGUGCUUCUUGAACAUGUCCAGGGCAAUGGAUAAAGUCUAGAUGCUAAGUUGACUUUUUUCCUGCAGAUUUGCUUAUCGUGAAGACGCUUGCAAGGAUGCAGCGGGAGCAGAUCAUUUGGAGAGAUAGGAUGCGACAAAUUGGUCUUUCUAUGCAUUUUGGUUUGCUUGUAACCGUGUUUGCAUUAGCUGGGAAUAAGUGACUUGGCAAGAACUGUAGGUGUCUGGAUAUGCUCUAAUGCUCCUGGUUUACUAUAAAUCUUGGAUUUGUAAUGAUGUGUAAUGCAUAAAAUGGAAUUUGGGGAUUUUAAUUUUUUUAAUUCGUAAUUAGUUAGUAGUAGCGUGGGGAAAAACCAUGC
rnacentral:lncRNA from 1 species